UAAUACGUAGGUGGCAAGCGUUGUCCGGAAUUAUUGGGCGUAAAGCGCGCGCAGGCGGUUUCUUAAGUCUGAUGUGAAAGCCCCCGGCUCAACCGGGGAGGGUCAUUGGAAACUGGGAAACUUGAGUGCAGAAGAGGAAAGUGGAAUUCCAAGUGUAGCGGUGAAAUGCGUAGAGAUUUGGAGGAACACCAGUGGCGAAGGCGACUUUCUGGUCUGUAACUGACGCUGAGGCGCGAAAGCGUGGGGAGCAAACAGGAUUAGAUACCCUGGUAGUCCACGCUGUAAACGAUGAGUGCUAAGUGUUAGAGGGUUUCCGCCCUUUAGUGCUGAAGUUAACGCAUUAAGCACUCCGCCUGGGGAGUACGGUCGCAAGACUG
rnacentral:rRNA from 1 species